rnacentral:lncRNA from 1 species
AUGCACCAUAUUAAAUAGAUUGAUACAUUGACGUGUUUAGUUGUUUUAAUUCCUCAUACACACCACCGUUGUUGUCAAAUUAGUAAAUUUCUGGGUUUUAGGCUGAUAUAUUCAACUAAUCUCAUAGUGAAAAGGUUCCUGCAAUUCUUCAAUUUCAGAUUUAUAUUUGCAAACGGGUAUUAUCUGCUUCUUAUAUUGACAUUUAGCAAAUGGAUAUUUUCAAAAGCCUCUAAUGAUCUAUAAAAAGCCUGGUAUUUGCCCC